UACGGGGGGGGCAAGCGUUGUUCGGAAUUACUGGGCGUAAAGGGCUCGUAGGCGGCCAACUAAGUCGGACGUGAAAUCCCUCGGCUUAACCGGGGAACUGCGUCCGAUACUGGAUGGCUUGAGUUCGGGAGAGGGAUGCGGAAUUCCAGGUGUAGCGGUGAAAUGCGUAGAUAUCUGGAGGAACACCGGUGGCGAAGGCGGCAUCCUGGACCGACACUGACGCUGAUGAGCGAAAGCCAGGGGAGCAAACGGG
rnacentral:rRNA from 1 species